GGUUUAGGUUUAGGUUUAGGUUAAGGUUUAGGUUUAGAUUAUAAGCUAUAUAGGUUUAGGGAAUUGAGAAUAGGUUAAGGUUUAGGUUUAGGAAAUCGGGUUCGGGUUCGGGAUUGGGUUUAGGUUUGGGUUUUCAAGUUUAGGUUUAGGUUUAGGUUAGGGAGUUGAGAUUAGGAUUAGGUGUAGGUGUAGGUGUAGGUUUAGGUUUAGGGAUUUGAGAAUACAUUUAGGUUUUAGGUUUAGGUUAUAGGUUAAGGUUUAGGUUUUAGGUUUAGGUUAAGGUUAGGUUAUAGGUUAUAAGUUUAGGUUUUGGUUUAGGUUAAGGUUAUAGGUUUAGG